rnacentral:lncRNA from 1 species
UGUACAAAUCCCCGCCACCCCCGGUUAAGCACUACUCUCCUCCUCCCGUUUACCAUUCUCCACCACCACCAAAGAAACACUACGUGUACAAGUCCCCUCCUCCUCCGGUUAAACACUAUUCUCCUCCUCCGGUUUACCACUCUCCACCACCUCCUAAGAAGGACUACGUCUACAAAUCUCCACCCCCACCGGUUAAGCACUACUCUCCCCCACCAGUCUACCACUCACCACCACCACCCAAGAAACAUUACGUAUACAAAUCUCCUCCUCCUCCGGUUAAACACUACACACCGCCUCCAGUUUACCAUUCCCCACCCCCACCUAAAAAACAUUACGUCUACAAAUCUCCUCCUCCUCCAGUGAUGCACUAUUCUCCUCCUCCGGUUUACCACUCUCCACCAC